CAAGGCGAACUGCUCAGUAACACGUAGCUAACCUACCCUUAAGUCAGGGAUAACCUUGGGAAACUAAGGAUAAUACCUGAUAGGAGAUAUACCCUGGAAUGAUUUAUCUCUUAAACUCGUGCUUAAGGAUGGGGCUGCGGUGUAUUAGGCUGUUGGCGGGGUAAUGGCCCACCAAACCAAUGAUCCAUAAGGGCUCUUAGCGGAGAGGCCCUGAGAGGGAAUCUGAGACACUAUUCCCAGCCCUACGGGGUGCAGCAGUUAGGAAUAAUCUACAAUGCACGAAAGUGUGAUAGUUUGAGCCAGAGUGUUUUUCAAAUGAAAGACUUUUGUGAAAUGUAAAAAGUUUCACGAAUAAGGACUGGGCAAGACUAGUGCCAGCCGCCGCGGUAAUACUAGCGGUCCAAGUCGCAACCAUUUUUAUUGGGUCUAAAACAUCCGUAGCUUGCUUGAUAAGUCUUCUGUGAAAUUUUAUGUCUAAAGCAUAGAGCGAGCAGAAGGUACUGUUGAGUUAGAGACCGGAAGACGUAAGGAGUACAUUCAGAGUAGCGGUUAAAUGUGUUAAUCCUGGAUGGACUAACAAGAGCGAAGGCACCUUACGAGGACGGUUCUGACAGUAAGGGAUGAAAGCUAGGGGCGCAAAUGGGAUUAGAUACCCCAGUAGUCCUAGCAGUAAACACUGCACACUAAACAUUAGUACCUCUUCGAGAGGUAUUAGUGCUGAAGGGAAGCCGGAGAGUGUGCUACCUGGGAAGUAUAGUCGCAAGGCCGAAACUUAAAGGAAUUGGCGGGGGAGCACUACAACGGGUGACGCGUGCGGUUCAAUUAGAUUAUACACCGUGAACCUCACCAGGAGCGACAGCAGAAUGAAGGUCAGUCUAAAGGGCUUACCUGACACGCUGAGAGGAGCUGCAUGGCCGACGUCAGCCUGUGCCGUGAGGUGACCUGUUAAAUCAGGUAACAGGCAAGACCCACAUCUCUAUUUAC
rnacentral:rRNA from 1 species